GAUGAACGCUGGCGGCGUGCCUAACACAUGCAAGUCGAGCGGCAGCGAGGGGUGCUUGCCCCCUGCCGGCGAGCGGCGGACGGCUGAGUAACGCGUGGGAACGUGCCCCAAAGUGAGGAAUAACUGCCCGAAAGGGUAGCUAAUACCGCAUAUUAUCUUCGGAUCAAAGGAUUUAUCCGCUUUGGGAGCGGCUCGCGUCGGAUUAGGUAGUUGGUGAGGUAAUGGCUCACCAAGCCGACGAUCCGUAGCUGGUCUGAGAGGAUGACCAGCCAGACUGGAACUGAGACACGGUCCAGACUCCUACGGGAGGCAGCAGUGAGGAAUCUUCCACAAUGGGCGAAAGCCUGAUGGAGCAACGCCGCGUGCAGGACGAAGGCCUACGGGUUGUAAACUGCUUUUAUAAGUGAGGAAUAUGACGGUAACUUAUGAAUAAGGAUCGGCUAACUACGUG
rnacentral:rRNA from 1 species